rnacentral:rRNA from 1 species
AUGUGCCGCGGUGCAAUCCUCGCCGAGCUCAUACCGAGCGCGCCGCCCAGGAGCGUCACGGCGGUCCACCUCUUGCCCAAGCGGCAGAGGGUGGACGACUUCGAGGCUGCUUUCAAGCGCUUCGACGAGGACUCUGAGGAGGAGGAGGAGGGCGUCCGGUUCUGGCUCGGCACCUUCCCCUCCGCCGACGACGCCGCGCACGCCUACGACGACGCCGCCCGCGACUUCCGCGGCGCCAACGCCAGGCUCAACUUCCCCUCCUCGCCCACAACAAGCGCACCCAAGUGCCGUGUAGCCGCGAAACCGACACCGUUCGUUGUUAUUGACCUCGACGACGACGAAGAGGGUGAUGCUGGAGCAGCGCAUGCCGGCGGGAUGAGCUCCGAAUCCAGCGGCGCCCUGCCGGACUUCUCAUGGCAGGGCAUGUCCGCGUCCGGCGAGGUCAUGGCGCAAUCUGUCCAUGCUGAAGUGGAGUCCAGCCACUCUGUCGUCGACCUGGGCAGCGCCAAGAAGCGGCCCCGGAUCGAAGCCGACGCGGUUCUGCCGGCAGCGGCCGACGACUCCGCCGACCAACUGUUAGAUCCUUUCGUGUUCGAUGACCAAUUCGGCUUCUUGGACAGCAGCUCGUACGAGUGGCUGGAUGGCCUGUUCGGCGCCGAUGCUGAGAAGAUCGACGACAGCCAGCUGGGGCUCUGGAGCUUUGGCGACCAUGACUGUCUCGCCGAGGACAGCGCGCGCGUGCAAGUAGAGUAG